rnacentral:rRNA from 1 species
UACAGAGGGUGCGAGCGUUGUCCGGAAUCACUGGGCGUAAAGGGCGCGUAGGUGGCGACCCAAGUCGAUGGUGAAAGCUCGCCGCUCAACGGCGAGUCGGCCACCGAUACUGGGUUGCUGGAGCACUGUAGAGGCAGAUGGAAUUCCGGGUGUAGCGGUGGAAUGCGUAGAGAUCCGGAAGAACACCGGUGGCGAAGGCGGCCUGCUGGGCAGUUACUGACACUGAGGCGCGACAGCGUGGGGAGCAAACAGG